rnacentral:tRNA from 1 species
GGCUCAAUGGUCAAGUGGCUAAGACACAACUUUUUCACUGUUGUAACCUGGGUUCAAUUCCCAGUUGAGCUA